AAGAAUGUCCCCUAACACACUCGGACACAUUGCCUCUACACCCACUAUGCAUUAAGGGUGAAUCAAAGAGGAUUUUAAAACCCUGGAUGACAAUAUAAAGGAUCCAUUUGUGGGGACUUGUGCAGAGAGCUGUGUUUGCCUAUAACAAAAUAUUUUUAAAGAUUUAAAUAAAAGUGUCUGACUUUA